AAAAAAAAAAAAAAAAAAAAAAAAACACGUGUAUCUCAUGGUUCCAAACAGCACAAAACAUCAUAAAUAUCACGAUAGAUAAACAAAUAUAUGAUGGAUAGUUAGCAGUCUUUAUAGCUGAAAUACAGAAAAUCACAAUUCUCCUAGAAAGGUAAUAUUGAUAUAGUAUGCUCAAAGAAAAAAAUCAUAUUCACUCUCGCUUAUAUUUUCAAUUCUUACUCCAGGAGGUAAUUACAUGAUAAGUUUCUGCAUUCUGUUGACACGUGGAAAAUCCAUAACAAUCAAUAAAAAGCUCAUUUUUCAAAUAGAAAAGACAUUACAAUUUAAUCAGUAUAUGCACUGUCAGAAUCAAUAAUUUAUAAUCCACUCCUGUUUCCAUAUAUUUUCUCACUUUUCUGAUUUAAUGUGACAGCAACCACCUCCUUCCCCCGGCCAGUUUCUCUCGUUGUUAUCUCAGAAAGCUAAAUACUUUGAAUUGUGCAAUAGCAUGAAUUCAAUAACCACCCCUCCAUCUUGCAGUGUUAUUAUAUUAUGAAAUUCCAUUCUUACGAUAUGCAACUAUAUAUAUUAUGGCAGUGUUUGGGAUGACUUUAUUGCAUUCAUCAAGGUUAUGCAUGCAACAUGCACGUACUUAUGGCUCAAAAUUAGAAAGCAAUUCAAUGAAGGCAACCAGUCUUGUAUCAUUCACCAGAUGAAAUUCAUUUCAGUUAGUAUUUAAAUUAAAAUCCUCAUAUCUAUAUUGCCAAAUCCUCACCUAUAGAGACCAGAUCAAUGCUGGAGAGCAGUACAUAUGGAGAUUAACCUGAGUAUCUAGCACCAACAUUGAUACACAAAUGUUGGAAUAUAUAGAGCUACCAAGACAUUUCUUGUAAUGAUGAUGAUGAUAGGAAUGAGAAGAUGAGUUACAGAGCACAGCCAGAAAGCAUUAUUCUUGGAGAUUAACCUAAGUACCUAGCACCGACGUUGUUAUACUAAUUUGAGAAUCUCUGGAGCUAAUAAGAUGCUGGACAUCAACAAAAGCAUUUUAAUUUGAAUGAAUACUAUUUUUGCAAUGAUUAUAGGAUUACAAAGAUAAGUUACAGAUUUUGAAAGUGACAUUUAAUUGCCAGAUGGAGCAGCAGUUUUUAGCUUUUGAGUUUCGCUUGAAUAUUUUAAUACUUGUUAGAAAAUAGAGAAAUAGGAAAACUGGAGAAUUAUAUUUCUAAGUUGUGUUUAUAAUACAAGGUGUACGCCCUAUUUAUACAAGAGAGCCUAUGCUAUAAAAUGAGAAAGAUACAAUAAUUCCUAUAAUUAAGCAAUAUGUAAUCCCCAUAAUUAAGCAAUCCCAUUAAUUAUGCUACAAUCACACAAAUUAUGCUAACACCUCCCCUCAAACUCAAGAUAGUAUUGUAGAUAUCAUUUUGAGUUUGCAUACUAAG
rnacentral:lncRNA from 1 species